rnacentral:sRNA from 1 species
CCUGCUUUGGUGUCGCUUAGCAGAACAUGCCUUAGAGUAAAAACCUCGCACGGGUGUGACAACUCAAACAAAACUUAGAAUGAAAGCAAGUAAAGCAGAUCAUGCAUGUUAGGUUGGUGUGAUUGUGAGUCGCUAUGGACCACAGCAUAGAACUUCUGUGGUG